rnacentral:rRNA from 1 species
GAUGAACGCUGGCGGCGUGCCUAAUACAUGCAAGUCGAGCGAACAGACGAGGAGCUUGCUCCGCUGACGUUAGCGGCGGACGGGUGAGUAACACGUGGAUAACCUACCUAUAAGACUGGGAUAACUUCGGGAAACCGGAGCUAAUACCGGAUAAUAUAUUGAGCCGCAUGGUUCAAUAGUGAAAGACGGUUUUGCUGUCACUUAUAGAUGGAUCCGCGCCGCAUUAGCUAGUUGGUAAGGUAACGACUUACCAAGGCGACGAUGCGUAGCCGACCUGAGAGGGUGAUCGGCCACACUGGAACUGAGACACGGUCCAGACUCCUACGGGAGGCAGCAGUAGGGAAUCUUCCGCAAUGGGCGAAAGCCUGACGGAGCAACGCCGCGUGAGUGAUGAAGGUCUUCGGAUCGUAAAACUCUGUUAUUAGGGAAGAACAAAUGUGUAAGUAACUAUGCACGUCUUGACGGUACCUAAUCAGAAAGCCACGGCUAACUACGUG